rnacentral:tRNA from 1 species
GGGUAGGUGGCCGAGUGGUUAAUGGCACCAGACUGUAAAUUUGGCUCGCGAAAGUGAUACGUAGGUUCGAAUCCUACCCUGCCCACCA